AUAAACGAUGCUAACUGGCGAUCCGUCGGCGUCAUUCCCACGACUCGGCGGGGAGCCCCCGGGAAACCAAAGUUUUUGAGUUCCGGGGGAAGUAUGGUUGCAAAGCUGAAACUUAAAGGAAUUGACGGAAGGGCACCACCAGGAGUGGAGCCUGCGGCUUAAUUUGACUCAACACGGGGAACCUCACCAGGCCCAGACACCGGAAGGAUUGACAGAUUGAGAGCUCUUUCUCGAUUCGGUGGGUGGUGGUGCAUGGCCGUUCUUAGUUGGUGGAGCGAUCUGUCUGGUUGAUUCCGAUAACGAACGAGACUCUAGCCUGCUAACUAGUCGGCGGAUCGACUCCCGAGACGGGUAUCCUUCCGCGGGGGCUUAGGGCGGGGGUAGCUCACGAGGGGCUCGUCGUUUCUCUCGUUCUCGGCAACGCGGGUCGGUCGGUCGGAGGGGGAUGACGAAGACGACGAAAGGAGAUCGGUAGCGGUAUUAGUCGCGGUCGUCGUCGGUGGUGGUCGUGCAGUCUCGGUUCGCCGAGGCGGCGAUGCGCGCCGUACGCCUUCCGCUACUACUACUACUGCCGUUUCUCCCGAAUCUCUUUCUCUCUCUCCCUUUCUUCCUUCCUCCUCCGCGCGUCGGGUUCGAGAGGCGGCGAUCAAGUCCCUUCGAGUCCCCGUUUCCUCCUCGCGUGUGGGAGCUCAACGAGGGGCGUCCGUCGUAAUAUCUUUCUUAGAGGGAUCGGCGGC
rnacentral:rRNA from 1 species